rnacentral:rRNA from 1 species
AGUGAACGCUGGCGGUAGGCCUAACACAUGCAAGUCGAACGGCAGCACAGUAAGAGCUUGCUCUUACGGGUGGCGAGUGGCGGACGGGUGAGGAAUACAUCGGAAUCUACUUUUUCGUGGGGGAUAACGUAGGGAAACUUACGCUAAUACCGCAUACGACCUACGGGUGAAAGCAGGGGAUCUUCGGACCUUGCGCGAUUGAAUGAGCCGAUGUCGGAUUAGCUAGUUGGCGGGGUAAAGGCCCACCAAGGCGACGAUCCGUAGCUGGUCUGAGAGGAUGAUCAGCCACACGGGAACUGAGACACGGUCCAGACUCCUACGGGAGGAAGCAGUGGGGAAUAUUGGAAAAGGGGCGCAAGCCUGAUCCAGCCAUACCGCGUGGGUGAAGAAGGCCUUCGGGUUGUAAAGCCCUUUUGUUGGGAAAGAAAAGCAGCAGGUUAAUACCCCGCUGUUCUGACGGUACCCAAAGAAUAAGCACCGGCUAACUUC